UACAGAGGUCUCAAGCGUUGUUCGGAUUCAUUGGGCGUAAAGGGUGCGUAGGUGGCGGGGUAAGUCAGGUGUGAAAUCUCGAGGCUCAACCUCGAAACUGCACUUGAUACUGCCUUGCUGGAGUACUGGAGAGGAGAUUGGAAUUUACGGUGUAGCAGUGAAAUGCGUAGAUAUCGUAAGGAAGACCAGUGGCGAAGGCGAAUCUCUGGACAGUUACUGACACUGAGGCACGAAGGCCAGAGGAGCAAACGGG
rnacentral:rRNA from 1 species